UUUUAUUUUUCUUUCGCAUUUGCUCUCUCUCGCCGUCUCUCCCAAAUGGAGAGUUAAAGAUUUUUUUUCCUUUUUGUCGACAAAGUCGAAGAGAUGAUAAGAGGAAGAGAAGAAGGCAAAGAAUUUUGGUCAAGCAUCUUGUAUAUGCUAAGCUCGAUCUUCGGCUGAAGCUAUGGCACAAAGUAAUUGGGAAGCUUACAAGAUGAUUGACGUUUAUAUAUACGUAUGAGAUCAUUUGGUGAAGAAAAAAACUUCGUAAUACUGCAAAAUCGUUUAUGAUUGAAGGAAAGGUUUCACCUGAUCGAGCUGGUACGAUGAAAUGAGGCAGAAGUUCAGUCGAAUACAUUGCUGGAGGUGCUACCCAUAACUCAAUCAAACUG